rnacentral:rRNA from 1 species
GAUGAACGCUGGCGGCGUGCCCAAUACAUGCAAGUCGAGCGAACGGACGAGAAGCUUGCUUCUCUGAUGUUAGCGGCGGACGGGUGAGUAACACGUGGAUAACCUACCUAUAAGACUGGGAUAACUUCGGGAAACCGGAGCUAAUACCGGAUAAUAUUUUGAACCGCAUGGUUCAAAAGUGAAAGACGGUCUUGCUGUCACUUAUAGAUGGAUCCGCGCUGCAUUAGCUAGUUGGUAAGGUAACGGCUUACCAAGGCAACGAUGCAUAGCCGACCUGAGAGGGUGAUCGGCCACACUGGAACUGAGACACGGUCCAGACUCCUACGGGAGGCAGCAGUAGGGAACCUUCCGCAAUGGGCGAAAGCCUGACGGAGCAACGCCGCGUGAGUGAUGAAGGUCUUCGGAUCGUAAAACUCUGUUAUUAGGGAAGAACAUAUGUGUAAGUAACUGUGCACAUCUUGACGGUACCUAAUCAGAAAGCCACGGCUAACUACGUG